CCUACGGGAGGCAGCAGUGGGGAAUCUUGCGCAAUGGGCGAAAGCCUGACGCAGCCAUGCCGCGUGAAUGAUGAAGGUCUUAGGAUUGUAAAAUUCUUUCACCGGGGACGAUAAUGACGGUACCCGGAGAAGAAGCCCCGGCUAACUUCGUGCCAGCAGCCGCGGUAAUACGAAGGGGGCUAGCGUUGCUCGGAAUUACUGGGCGUAAAGGGAGCGUAGGCGGAUAGUUUAGUCAGAGGUGAAAGCCCAGGGCUCAACCUUGGAAUUGCCUUUGAUACUGGCUAUCUUGAGUGUGGGAGAGGUAUGUGGAACUCCGAGUGUAGAGGUGAAAUUCGUAGAUAUUCGGAAGAACACCAGUGGCGAAGGCGACAUACUGGCCCAUUACUGACGCUGAGGCUCGAAAGCGUGGGGAGCAAACAGGAUUAGAUACCCUGGUAGUCCACGCCGUAAACGAUGAGUGCUAGUUGUCGGCAUGCAUGCAUGUCGGUGACGCAGCUAACGACAUUAAGACACCUCCGCCGUCGGGGUAGGUACGGGUCGGCGAAGAAUUAAAACUUAACAAAUAGAAGUUAGACGGCGUGAGACGUGCCGAACGGACGACGACGAGGGAGGUUAGG
rnacentral:rRNA from 1 species